rnacentral:misc_RNA from 1 species
GGAAGUAAAAGCCGUAACAAGGUUUCCGUAGGUGAACCUGCGGAAGGAUCAUUAUUGUAUAACCGAGGUGCGAGGGCUGUCGCUGACCCGAAAGGUCGUGCACGCCCGAGUGCCCUCACACACAUCCAUCUCACCCCUAUGUGCACCACCGCGUGGGUCCCCCUUUGGCUUGUUCGGAGGGGGGCUUACGUUUUCACACAAACUUUGUAUGCAGUGUAGAAUGUAUUUUUUGUUUUUGCGAUCACGCAACCAAUACAACUUUCAACAACGGAUCUCUUGGCUCUC